CAGGCUUAACACAUGCAAGUCGAGGGGCAGCAUGGUCUUAGCUUGCUAAGGCCGAUGGCGACCGGCGCACGGGUGAGUAACACGUAUCCAACCUGCCGUCUACUCUUGGACAGCCUUCUGAAAGGAAGAUUAAUACAAGAUGGCAUCAUGAGUCCGCAUGUUCACAUGAUUAAAGGUAUUCCGGUAGACGAUGGGGAUGCGUUCCAUUAGAUAGUAGGCGGGGUAACGGCCCACCUAGUCUUCGAUGGAUAGGGGUUCUGAGAGGAAGGUCCCCCACAUUGGAACUGAGACACGGUCCAAACUCCUACGGGAGGCAGCAGUGAGGAAUAUUGGUCAAUGGGCGAGAGCCUGAACCAGCCAAGUAGCGUGAAGGAUGACUGCCCUAUGGGUUGUAAACUUCUUUUAUAAAGGAAUAAAGUCGGGUAUGGAUACCCGUUUGCAUGUACUUUAUGAAUAAGGAUCGGCUAACUCCGUGCCAGCAGCCGCGGUAAUACGGAGGAUCCGAGCGUUAUCCGGAUUUAUUGGGUUUAAAGGGAGCGUAGAUGGAUGUUUAAGUCAGUUGUGAAAGUUUGCGGCUCAACCGUAAAAUUGCAGUUGAUACUGGAUAUCUUGAGUGCAGUUGAGGCAGGCGGAAUUCGUGGUGUAGCGGUGAAAUGCUUAGAUAUCACGAAGAACUCCGAUUGCGAAGGCAGCCUGCUAAGCUGCAACUGACAUUGAGGCUCGAAAGUGUGGGUAUCAAACAGGAUUAGAUACCCUGGUAGUCCACACGGUAAACGAUGAAUACUCGCUGUUUGCGAUAUACAGCAAGCGGCCAAGCGAAAGCGUUAAGUAUUCCACCUGGGGAGUACGCCGGCAACGGUGAAACUCAAAGGAAUUGACGGGGGCCCGCACAAGCGGAGGAACAUGUGGUUUAAUUCGAUGAUACGCGAGGAACCUUACCCGGGCUUAAAUUGCAGAUGAAUUACGGUGAAAGCCGUAAGCCGCAAGGCAUCUGUGAAGGUGCUGCAUGGUUGUCGUCAGCUCGUGCCGUGAGGUGUCGGCUUAAGUGCCAUAACGAGCGCAACCCUUGUUGUCAGUUACUAACAGGUUCCGCUGAGGACUCUGACAAGACUGCCAUCGUAAGAUGUGAGGAAGGUGGGGAUGACGUCAAAUCAGCACGGCCCUUACGUCCGGGGCUACACACGUGUUACAAUGGGGGGUACAGAGGGCCGCUACCACGCGAGUGGAUGCCAAUCCCAAAAACCUCUCUCAGUUCGGACUGGAGUCUGCAACCCGACUCCACGAAGCUGGAUUCGCUAGUAAUCGCGCAUCAGCCACGGCGCGGUGAAUACGUUCCCGGGCCUUGUACACACCGCCCGUCAAGCCAUGGGAGCCGGGGGUACCUGAAGUGCGUAACCGCGAGGAGCGCCCUAGGGUAAAACUGGUGACUGGGG
rnacentral:rRNA from 1 species